UUUUCACUCACCGGCCGCGCCUUAAGGUCGCUGUCUCUCCGUCCUCCCUCGCUGUCUUCCUUUUUUUUUACCUCACCGAUCGGAUCCGACGCUCGGACUCCCCUGCGAACGUGAAAGCCGCUAAUUCAAACCCGUCCAGCGCGCAGCGGCUGACCGGUCGACGCAAGCGGCUCACGAGUUGGCGUCACCACGUCACGCAAUCACUAGUCGACGCCGGGCGUCAACCGUCGGUUGUUCAGGUGGUUAUUUCAUAUCCUGAUGCCUCCUGUCAGGCAAAAUAAUCCUUCAGUGGUGCAAAUAGAUGGCGAAUGACAGGCACACUCCAUGACCUCCCAAGAAGUUUUUGUCGGGCUCCUCGUCCCAUAUUUGACACAUCUGUGUAAUGUACUGGGAAGCCAAAGAUCCUGCAGAUCAAGAAUCAAACAGCAUUAAAAGUUGCCAUUGAAACCAUGCCAAAAGUACUUCUUUUACUGAAAUAAAUGUGGAAUUACAAAGAUUACUCAGUGUAUCAAAA